CCUACGGGGGGCAGCAGUAAGGAAUAUUGGUCAAUGGAGGAAACUCUGAACCAGCCAUCCCGCGUGAAGGAUGAAGGGGCUCUGCCUUGUAAACUUCUUUUGUCUGGGGCGAAACAGCUCGAUUUAUCGAGAACUGACGGUACCAGAAGAAUAAGCACCGGCUAACUCCGUGCCAGCAGCCGCGGUACUACGGAGGGUGCAAGCGUUAUCCGGAAUCACUGGGUUUUAGGGGGCUUUGUACGUCAGAGUAGAAAGGCUGUGGCUUAACCAUGGAAUUGCCAUUGAGACUGCAGAGCUUGAAUGAGGUGGAGGUUGGCGGAAUGUGACAUGUAGCGGUGAAAUGCUUAGAUAUGUCAUGGAACACCGAUUGCGAAGGCAGCUGACUGGACCUAUAUUGACGCUGAGGCACGAAAGCGUGGGGAGCGAACAGGAUUAGAUACCCUAGUAGUC
rnacentral:rRNA from 1 species